GGUUAAGCGACUAAGCGUACACGGUGGAUGCCCUGGCAGUCAGAGGCGAUGAAGGGCGUGCUAAUCUGCGAUAAGCGCCGGUAAGGUGAUAUGAACCGUUAUAACCGGCGAUACCCGAAUGGGGAAACCCAGUGUGAUUCGUCACACUAUCAUUAACUGAAUCCAUAGGUUAAUGAGGCGAACCGGGGGAACUGAAACAUCUAAGUACCCCGAGGAAAAGAAAUCAACCGAGAUUCCCCCAGUAGCGGCGAGCGAACGGGGAGGAGCCCAGAGCCUGAAUCAGCAUGUGUGUUAGUGGAAGCGUCUGGAAAGGCGCGCGAUACAGGGUGACAGCCCCGUACACAAAAGCGCAUGUGCUGUGAGCUCGAUGAGUAGGGCGGGACACGUGGUAUCCUGUCUGAAUAUGGGGGGACCAUCCUCCAAGGCUAAAUACUCCUGACUGACCGAUAGUGAACCAGUACCGUGAGGGAAAGGCGAAAAGAACCCCGGCGAGGGGAGUGAAAAAGAACCUGAAACCGUGUACGUACAAGCAGUGGGAGCCCCACCACCAAAGCAUUCUAUGGUGUUGAAGGCCCUGCAAAGCAGCAUCGCGGUGGCGGAGCGUCGUUUGCGACGCCCAACACACAAAACAAGCGGUGAGUGCUUUGGGGUGGGGUGACUGCGUACCUUUUGUAUAAUGGGUCAGCGACUUAUAUUCUGUAGCAAGGUUAACCGAAUAGGGGAGCCGGAGGGAAACCGAGUCUUAAUUGGGCGUUAAGUUGCAGGGUAUAGACCCGAAACCCGGUGAUCUAGCCAUGGGCAGGUUGAAGGUUGGGUAACACUAACUGGAGGACCGAACCGACUAAUGUUGAAAAAUUAGCGGAUGACCUGUGGCUGGGGGUGAAAGGCCAAUCAAACCGGGAGAUAGCUGGUUCUCCCCGAAAGCUAUUUAGGUAGCGCCUCGUGAAUUCAUCUCCGGGGGUAGAGCACUGUUUCGGCUAGGGGGCCAUCCCGGCUUACCAACCCGAUGCAAACUGCGAAUACCGGAGAAUGUUAUCACGGGAGACACACGGCGGGUGCUAACGUCCGUCGUGAAGAGGGAAACAACCCAGACCGCCAGCUAAGGUCCCAAAGUCAUGGUUAAGUGGGAAACGAUGUGGGAAGGCCCAGACAGCCAGGAUGUUGGCUUAGAAGCAGCCAUCAUUUAAAGAAAGCGUAAUAGCUCACUGGUCGAGUCGGCCUGCGCGGAAGAUGUAACGGGGCUAAACCAUGCACCGAAGCUGCGGCAGCGAACGUAUCACCCAAGACAACUUUACGGAGUUGACGAUUGACGGAGCGAAGCGACGUCAAAGCGUUCAUUAAAGUCGAGUUGGCUUAGGGAUACGUUCGUUGGGUAGGGGAGCGUUCUGUAAGCCUGUGAAGGUGUGUCGUGAGGCAUGCUGGAGGUAUCAGAAGUGCGAAUGCUGACAUAAGUAACGAUAAAGCGGGUGAAAAGCCCGCUCGCCGGAAGACCAAGGGUUCCUGUCCAACGUUAAUCGGGGCAGGGUGAGUCGACCCCUAAGGCGAGGCCGAAAGGCGUAGUCGAUGGGAAACGGGUUAAUAUUCCCGUACUUGGUGUUACUGCGAAGGGGGGACGGAGAAGGCUAUGUUGGCCGGGCGACGGUUGUCCCGGUUUAAGCGUGUAGGUGUGUGUUCCAGGUAAAUCCGGUUCACUUUAACACUGAGGCGUGACGACGAGGCACUACGGUGCUGAAGCAACAAAUGCCCUGCUUCCAGGAAAAGCCUCUAAGCAUCAGGUAACAUCAAAUCGUACCCCAAACCGACACAGGUGGUCAGGUAGAGAAUACCAAGGCGCUUGAGAGAACUCGGGUGAAGGAACUAGGCAAAAUGGUGCCGUAACUUCGGGAGAAGGCACGCUGACACGUAGGUGAAGUGAUUUACUCAUGGAGCUGAAGUCAGUCGAAGAUACCAGCUGGCUGCAACUGUUUAUUAAAAACACAGCACUGUGCAAACACGAAAGUGGACGUAUACGGUGUGACGCCUGCCCGGUGCCGGAAGGUUAAUUGAUGGGGUCAGCGCAAGCGAAGCUCCUGAUCGAAGCCCCGGUAAACGGCGGCCGUAACUAUAACGGUCCUAAGGUAGCGAAAUUCCUUGUCGGGUAAGUUCCGACCUGCACGAAUGGCGUAAUGAUGGCCAGGCUGUCUCCACCCGAGACUCAGUGAAAUUGAACUCGCUGUGAAGAUGCAGUGUACCCGCGGCAAGACGGAAAGACCCCGUGAACCUUUACUAUAGCUUGACACUGAACAUUGAGCCUUGAUGUGUAGGAUAGGUGGGAGGCUUUGAAGUGUGGACGCCAGUCUGCAUGGAGCCGACCUUGAAAUACCACCCUUUAAUGUUUGAUGUUCUAACGUGGACCCGUAAUCCGGGUUGCGGACAGUGUCUGGUGGGUAGUUUGACUGGGGCGGUCUCCUCCUAAAGAGUAACGGAGGAGCACGAAGGUUGGCUAAUCCUGGUCGGACAUCAGGAGGUUAGUGCAAUGGCAUAAGCCAGCUUGACUGCGAGCGUGACGGCGCGAGCAGGUGCGAAAGCAGGUCAUAGUGAUCCGGUGGUUCUGAAUGGAAGGGCCAUCGCUCAACGGAUAAAAGGUACUCCGGGGAUAACAGGCUGAUACCGCCCAAGAGUUCAUAUCGACGGCGGUGUUUGGCACCUCGAUGUCGGCUCAUCACAUCCUGGGGCUGAAGUAGGUCCCAAGGGUAUGGCUGUUCGCCAUUUAAAGUGGUACGCGAGCUGGGUUUAGAACGUCGUGAGACAGUUCGGUCCCUAUCUGCCGUGGGCGCUGGAGAACUGAGGGGGGCUGCUCCUAGUACGAGAGGACCGGAGUGGACGCAUCACUGGUGUUCGGGUUGUCAUGCCAAUGGCACUGCCCGGUAGCUAAAUGCGGAAGAGAUAAGUGCUGAAAGCAUCUAAGCACGAAACUUGCCCCGAGAUGAGUUCUCCCUGAGACUUAGAGUCUCCUGAAGGAACGUUGAAGACGACGACGUUGAUAGGCCGGGUGUGUAAGCGCAGCGAUGCGUUGAGCUAACCGGUACUAAUGAACCGUGAGGCUUAACCUU
rnacentral:rRNA from 1 species